CUACGGGUCGCAGCAGUGAGGAAUAUUGCACAAUGGGGGGAACCCUGAUGCAGCAACGCCGCGUGGAGGAUGACGCAUUUCGGUGUGUAAACUCCUUUUAUAUGUCAAGAAAAUGACGGUAGCAUAUGAAUAAGCACCGGCUAACUCCGUGCCAGCAGCCGCGGUAUACGGAGGGUGCAAGCGUUACUCGGAAUCACCGGGCGUAAAGGACGCGUAGGCGGGUUGGGAAGUCAGGUGUGAAAUCCUACAGCUUAACUGUAGAACUGCACUUGAAACUUCUAAGCGAGAGUGUGGGAGGGGGAGAUGGAAUUAGUGGUGUAGGGGUAAGAUCCGUAGAUAUCACUAGGAAUACCGAAAGCGAAGGCGAUCUCCUGGAACAUUACUGACGCUAAGGCGUGAAAGCGUGGGGAGCAAACAGGAUUAGAUACCCGUGUAGUC
rnacentral:rRNA from 1 species